rnacentral:rRNA from 1 species
AAUAUUGCACAAUGGGCGAAAGUCUGAUGGAGCAACGCCGCGUGAGCGAAGAAGGUUUNCGGAUCNUNAAGCUCUGUUGUAAGGGNCGAACACGUACGGGAGUCACUGCCCGUACCUUGACGGUACCUUAUCAGAAAGCCACGGCUAACUACGUGCCAGCAGCCGCGGUAAUACGUAGGUGGCAAGCGUUGUCCGGAAUUAUUGGGCGUAAAGCGCGCGCAGGCGGUCCUUUAAGUCUGAUGUGAAAGCCCACGGCUCAACCGUGGAGGGUCAUUGGAAACUGGAGGACUUGAGUACAGAAGAGGAAAGCGGAAUUCCACGUGUAGCGGUGAAAUGCGUAGAGAUGUGGAGGAACACCAGUGGCGAAGGCGGCUUUCUGGUCUGUAACUGACGCUGAGGCGCGAAAGCGUGGGGAGCAAACAGG